GUCCAAAUUAGAUGAGGCUGGAACUUUGCUUCAAAUGUGGGUGGGGCAACCAAUUGUCCUUGAUAAACCUUCUCGAUAGCUUCGCUAGCAGCACUAGCUUUCAAAAUUGCAUCUCCUGAGGCACUUGACUCAACAUCAUACCCCGAUGAACGCCAUUGUGGCAACCCUCCAUCCAAUACCCAAACCUUAUCAUGUCCGAAAACUCUGAACAUCCACCACACACGAGCUGCACUGAAUAUCCCCUUUCCAUCAUAAACAAUCACCCCGUCUUUGUUGUGGAUUCCAAGGGCAGAGACAGCAGCACCAAAAGCUUUUUCUGAUGGCAACAUAUGUGGUAGAUUAGAUGUUCUGUCUGAUAUUCCAUCAACAUCGAAGAAUAAGGCCCCAGGUAUAUGAGCUACCUGAUAUUCCUGAAGAGGAUUCCUCUGCUCAUCAGGCAUGUACCAGGAAGCAUCUAGCACCUUAACAUCCGGUGCCCUGAGAUUCGCAU
rnacentral:misc_RNA from 1 species